GUCUACUUACUAGUUUCACAACAUUAUGUACAACAGUUUCUGUAUUAAAUACAUCCAAAGUAUGUGUUGCCGUGAGGGAAUGCUCCAUGAUAUCAAAUUUCUAAUAUAAUACCUUGAGGGAAAUAAUGAAUAUGCCAAUUCUUUGAAAUAAGGAAGAUAAUAUCAAACAGAUGGAUGUUUCCAUAGAUAUAUGGAUGCAUGUAGAGGGGGGCGUGGAUGGGCGAGUUGAUUGCUGAUGAAUGCAUUUGUAGAUGGGUGUAUGUAUGGGUAGAUGGUUGCAGGCAUCAUGCAACGAAGCAAAAAUUGUAAGGGUUCGAUGGAUGGAUGGAUGGAUGGAUUGGAGAAUGGAUGGAUGGAUUGGUUUUUGUUUUCGUGUCACAAAUGCGCUAAGAAUUUAACACGUUCAAGGCAAAUACAUUGUUCAGUAGAAACGUUUUAGUAGAACGAAACAUUUGAAGACACUCAGGCCAUUCUUGAAUGUUAUUCAAGGAAACAAACAGUCAACACUCUAUUUGUUCAAUUAAAGGUUAUUUACAUAUAACUUUGCAAACUUUUAGAAUAAAAUGUACAGGCAAAUAGCCGACUGAACUGACUAUUUAAACAUGGAAAUAGUAACUAUUUAAUACGAAUAUAGAUACUUCUGCAGAUUUGUUCAAACAACGGUGGUAAGGGGAUGUGUGCUCUCUUGCAAUUCGGUGCAAUUAGUCGUAUGGUGCUAUAGUAUAAACGGAAGUGCUCUGAAUGUGGAAAAUUCGCAGAACUAAACAAAAUGGGAAUUUUUAAGACGUUCAGGGGUAAUAAUAACUCAGCAAGUUAUCAAGUAACAAGAAAAUUUCUGUAAUUUGAAAGAUAUGAUAAUGUCAAAUAGAUUUAAUGAGCCUUGUCUUUGCAUUUUUUUAGUAUUACAAAAUAUUGACAAUAAUUUUAGCACACUGUUGAAAAGUAAACGGUAUAAUAUUAUUCGAGAUAGAUGAAUGUAAUUGUUAUUAUAUAUUUAUGUUUCCACUAUAUUCUGCAUAGAUGAUCUUACAUUUAAAUUAGAAUUUUAAACGCGAUAUUGCUUAAGUAGUUUUCCUCCAAAUAUUAUUUCUUCCUCUCUUUAAAUAAAUGUUCUUGCUACCAUUUGCAAUACAAGUUUCUUAUUAAUAAGCGGUCCUGCCCAUGGCAAACAAUACGCCAGCAAAUAAUGCAUUAUAAUAAAUAUCUUUGUAAAACAAUCUUGUCGUGGAGAAACACCGGCAACCGUUGUCGCUAAUUUAAUAUAAGAAAUACAGUUAUUCAACGUUUUACAAUAAUUAUCCAACCGAAAAUACACAAUGGAAUCACAAUCUAAGUUUUAAAAGGGCUUCUAGUUGCAUUGUCUCAAUAAAUAACUUAUAAUCGUUGUUAAAAUGUGUGAUAUCAAAAGAAAAUAUGAUAACUAUUUAAGACUCAAAAUGCGCUAAAUUUUCAUUAAUUUCUUUAAAAUGGAAUAAUAAUAAUUAUCAUGCAUAUCAAGUGAUCAUCAUAGAAAUAAGUGAUUUUGCUAUCUGAUUGUUUAAUCAAUAUAAGUUAUUUCGAAUGUCGUAAAAACGAAACACCAUGUACGUUUUCUGUGAUUAUAUUUCCUUAUUAUGUGCAUUCAUAUUGAAAAAGUCUAUAUAUAUGUAUUUAAGUAGAAAGAUCAUGGAAAGACUUACAACCAAGAGAAAUAUGACGGCCCAAAUCGCUUAAAACUGUGUAAUCACUCCAUGAAAA